CCUACGGGAGGCAGCAGUGGGGAAUAUUGGACAAUGGGCGAAAGCCUGAUCCAGCCAUGCCGCGUGUGUGAAGAAGGCCUUCGGGUUGUAAAGCACUUUCAGUGGGGAAGAAAGCCUUGGGGCUAAUACCCUCGAGGAAGGACAUCACCCACAGAAGAAGCACCGGCUAACUCCGUGCCAGCAGCCGCGGUAAUACGGAGGGUGCGAGCGUUAAUCGGAAUUACUGGGCGUAAAGCGCGCGUAGGCGGUCUGAUAAGCCGGUUGUGAAAGCCCCGGGCUCAACCUGGGAACGGCAUCCGGAACUGGCAGGCUAGAGUACAGGAGAGGAAGGUAGAAUUCCCGGUGUAGCGGUGAAAUGCGUAGAGAUCGGGAGGAAUACCAGUGGCGAAGGCGGCCUUCUGGACUGACACUGACGCUGAGGUGCGAAAGCGUGGGUAGCAAACAGGAUUAGAUACCCCAGUAGUC
rnacentral:rRNA from 1 species